rnacentral:rRNA from 1 species
UACCAGCACCCCGAGUGGUCGGGACGAUUAUUGGGCCUAAAGCAUCCGUAGCCGGUCAUGCAAGUCCUCCGUUAAAUCCACCUGCUUAACAGAUGGGCUGCGGAGGAUACUACAAGGCUAGGAGGCGGAAGAGGCAAGCGGUACUCAGUGGGUAGGGGUAAAAUCCUCUGAUCCAUUGAAGACCACCAGUGGCGAAGGCGGCUUGCCAAUACGCGCUCGACGGUGAGGGAUGAAAGCUGGGGGAACAAACCGG